rnacentral:rRNA from 1 species
UACGGAGGGGGCUAGCGUUGUUCGGAAUUACUGGGCGUAAAGCGCACGUAGGCGGCUUUGUAAGUUAGAGGUGAAAGCCCGGGGCUCAACUCCGGAAUUGCCUUUAAGACUGCAUCGCUAGAAUUGUGGAGAGGUAAGUGGAAUUCCGAGUGUAGAGGUGAAAUGGCGUAGAGAUGUGGAGGAACACCAGUGGCGAAGGCGGCUCUUUGGUCUGUAACUGACGGCUGAGGCGGCGAAAGCGGUGGGGAGCGAACAGG